rnacentral:lncRNA from 1 species
AUAACACACACUACACUGUGACACAGACUUAUACAGUAUAGUAUGAUAUUAUAAUACCCAAAUUUUAUAUUAGAGGAUUUGGAGAAAUAUUCCAGUGAACUCAGUUAUUUCCUUAUACCUGAGCUAGAAAUAAUUUUGCAUCAAAAAUUCCCCACUCUGCCUUUCCAGAGCAUGACUAAUCUGUGAAGAGUGAGUUGAUACAGUUACUGCAUGGCAUACUUUUAUGGGGUCUAGCUUGAAAGUCAAAGAAAUACAUAACACAAUAGAAGGAGAGAGGCAUAAAGUUUCAAGGAAGGGGUUUUUUCCCUUAAUUACUAUUACUUUAGGAUGACAGCAUGUUUAUUCCCUAAGAAGAGCCAGCAGAGAAGAGAUUGAAAAUCUGAGAGUAAUAAAAUGGGAGAGAGGGAGGGGAGAGGAGAGAGAGAACCAAAAAAGAAUCAACGUGUAAAGGAAAUUCUUGGAGUGUUGAGCUGAAAAGGAUAGAUGAAAGGGUUCAUGGUUAAAAACAAAAAGGGAGGGGGGGAAAGGAAUACUUCUUUCUCUAGAUUGAGGUGGAUUUCCACACACAAGAAAAUCUCACCAUUCAUCUUGGCUCUCCUUCACAGGUGAGAAAGUGGAUAUCCAGACAGGUGCAGCAAACCAGUAGAAAAUCUGAGAUAGAGCCUUUUAGCUUUUUGUAGUGCUUUCCUUUUUGAAAAUAAUUUUGUCAUUUUUCUUUGAGUUCUUUUCAGGCCCUCCUUGCCCUAUUUAAAUGUUUGUGUUCUGAGUCAGGCAUGAGUUUCUAAGGGAACUAAUUGAAUAAAAUGCUGUGGGACUAUGAGACUGUGCUCCGUUUAGCAUAUUUCCUGGUCACUUUAUUAACUUUUCUCUCCCAUAACUUAUUACACUUUUUAAUCACACGUGACCUACCUUUAAGCCUCUAAAUAUCUCCCUGUUAUCAGAUAGUGUUUAGACAGUGCUCAGGCUAAGAAGCCCUGCAUGAUGCCCAACAUAGCAUCCAAGUUAAACACACCAAUUAAUAUCCACCUCUUCAAAAUGGUGAAAAAAAAAAACAAAUGUUCUCUGCAUGGCCAAAUCAAAUCUUUACUUUUAAAUACAAUGAAAGACUAUUUUCUCCUUUUCCAGAAAAGAAAUUCUAGCCCUGCUUUAUUGAACCCCAUCCCAGUGACUCAAUUUUUUACAGGCUUGCUCACCAGUUCUCUGUUUCAGAUGUUGGUGACCGAGGAACAACACCCACCAUUUACUCCACCCCAAGGGACUUCUUGACUGCAUCUGAAUCACCUAUCAUGGGCUUGAGUGAUGCCAGUACUUAGAAGAAAGCAGACCCAAGAGAAAGGCUACCAUAUCACUUGCACCUCUGAAUCCAACCAGCCCUGAAAGUUUCUCUUUUCCUGAACUUGCAAGAUAAAAGAGCUAAUAAACUAAUUUUUGCUAGCUUGAGUUGGAUUUCU